ACAUAGAUCUCGUUCCUCUGAGGAAUGCGAAUCCUCAGAGAGGAGCUUUAGUUCUGCUAUCCAGAAAAGCUGUUUGUGUCACAGAAGAGCAACACUGAGAUGGGACAAGUGAAGUUUGUAACUAAGCACUUGCUUGCAGCGUAACCACCUGCUCUGUACAGAGGAGGCUCCAGGCAGCAUGUUCCUGGUCGUACGUGGCCUAAUUGCAUCCACCGAACAGAGACUGCGCCUCAGUAUCUGCAGAUUGCCUUGGCAGGAAAACCGUACUGUCAAGCUGCAAGCCCCAAAGAAGACAGCAUUGCCAGUUACUGCACAGCCCACUGGAAGACUGCCUUUGGGGCGACUUUUCUAGAAGAACCUGCGUGUUCUCCGUAGGAAGUGUGGAUAUGAAAUCAGCCUGCACCUUGCUACCUACAGAAAAGCUGGAUGUGGCCUGCCCGUCCCAAGCAGGGAGAGUGCACUUGAAUGAGGGCUCAUUAGUCUUCCUCGUCAGCGGGCUGGCAGUGCUGGGCUAUGCUUCAUCCCUCAGCAUGCAGUCCACAUACCAGGGUGUCAUCCGGGAGGUCUGCGGCACGGCGGUGGGGAAGCUCUGUGAGGUCUGCUUCAUCCUCAACCUCUUCAUGAUCUCUGUGGCCUUCCUCAGGGUUGUGGGUGACCAGCUGGAGAAAUUGUGCGACUCCUUCUACCCCAACGGCACACUGAGCGAGGAGGGACCGUUGCUGCAGCACUGGUACACGGACCAGCGCUUCACCCUCUCGGCUCUCUGUGUCCUGGUGAUUUUCCCUCUCUCCGUCCCCAAGGAGAUCGGCUUCCAGAAGUACUCCAGCAUCCUGGGCACAUUGGCCGCCUGCUACCUCACCCUGGUUAUCAUCAUAAAGUACCACCUGCAAGCAGAGAGCGUCGGCUUACGUGAACCCUCCCAUCCCUCCAGGGCUUCCUCCUGGGCCUCCAUGUUCAGCGUCAUCCCCACCAUCUGCUUCGGUUUUCAGUGCCACGAGGCCUGCGUGGCCAUCUACAGCAGCAUGCGCAACCGGAACUUCUCCCACUGGGUCGCUGUCUCUGUGCUCUCCAUGCUCAUCUGCCUGCUCAUUUACUCCCUCACAGGGCUGUAUGGUUACCUGACCUUUGGCGAGGACGUGGCAGCUGACAUCCUCAUGUCCUACCCAGGGAACGAUGCAGUUGUCAUCGUUGCCCGCCUGCUCUUUGGCAUCUCCAUCGUGACCAUCUACCCCAUCGUCGUGCUUCUGGGCAGGUCUGUUGUCCGGGAUGUGUGGGUGAACCCCAAGCGUGGGACUGUGUCGGUGGCUGAGACACACGAGUGGCAGACCCGGGUGGCACUGACUGUCUCGUGGAUCGCGGCAACGCUUGCCAUCGCUUUGUUCGUCCCAGAUAUCGGCAAGGUCAUCGGGCUCAUCGGGGGCAUCAGUGCGUUCUUCAUCUUCAUCUUCCCAGGGCUGUGCUUGGUGUGCAUGAUGGGAACUGAAGCCGUCGGGCCAAGGAAGAGAUGGCAGCGUUCUCAGCACCAGCAAAGAUGUGGACGGCUAAAAGGUGCGGGGCAGUUGACCAAGGAACGGAGGCAUUUCUAGCAGAAGCAAUGGGUGACAGGAGACCUUCCUCCACGUGGGACAAGGGCUGGAGGUGCCUAUCUGCCAGGCAGACUGAGCACCUUGGGAACGUCCUCACUCACCCCUGCCAACCAUCGGGGCUUUGGGAGAGUUUGCGAAGGCUCAGCCGCCUCUUGGACUGCCACUCUUUGCAACUUGUCCCUGUGGAUGCCUAUAACCCCUUCAGUGGAGGAGCAGCGUGGGUCAAGGACCAUGGGCUGAGCAGGCGAGGCCCCAUGCCAAGGCACCGCCAUCAAGAAAGGCCGGAGCAGCGAGGGACAGGAUUGCAGUGGGCCAGGCAGUAGCGCCAGGAAGUGUCCGUGCUGAAGGCCUCAACGCAAGGGAAGGGAGCAGCAAGAGGUGACUUGGGGAGAAGGUCCAUGGGCUUGUUCCAGACUGUGGCAGUAGAGGAGAUCUUGCUGGACGAGGCCUGGCAGGGCCAAGGAUGCCAAGAGAGAUGGUGACCCAGGGAAGAGCAGCCCUGGCAAGGGGGGGGAGCAGCACAUAGCAACCUGCAGGCAGGAGGAAGGGACGGCAGGACACCCGGCUGGCUGGAAGGGGAGGCCCUCGCUGAGGUAGGAGCACCAAGGCAACCUCUCGAGGUGCGAGUGGGAAUGGCAGGUGAGGGAUGAGCAGAGGAAAUGUCUUGCCGAUCGCUGCAAGGUUGUUGAGCAGCUCUGCGGUGCGGUUGAGGCAGGCGAUACGGAUGGGACAGGGCUGCAGGGGCAGAUGGUCGGGAGCGUCGGCAGCAGCCUGCUGCAAGCGGCAUCCCUCUGGGAGCGAGCUCUAGGAACGCCCGUGGCAAAUGUGCCCGUGGCAGAGGUGACUGACAGGGCCGAGGGCAGCGUCCCUGUGCCGGAGCAGCCCGGCGCAGCCACCAGGGAGGCAGGGCAAAUGCUCCGGAGAGGGGGCGGCCGGCGGCACGCAGGCGAAGCGCGCCCGGGCCAACGGCCAGGCCCUGCUCUGGACUAAGGGAGCGCCCGGUGCAGGUAGGGGACGUGCCCUGGUUUGUCUUGUCCACGGGGCUGUGGCAGAGGUAAGGACGGGAGAGGAGAGCGCAGGGCCAACCGUGUCGUGGGGUGAGGUGCUGUGGCUGGGGAAGGGUGCGGUGCGGGCUCGGGGCAGCGUAGCAGAGGACCUGGAGCGAGCGCCAUAGGGCAGCCCCUCACCGGUGGCGGGUCGAGGUCCUGGGGGGGGGUGCUUGGGCCCACCGGCACAGCUCCGCCGUGUCUCCAGUGGGCGGCAGCUGCCCCGUGGGCCCCUUCCCGGGCU